rnacentral:lncRNA from 10 species
UACUUUUGAGGUUUUGAGACUGGGACUGAUCCACCACUGGCUUCCUCGCUCCUCAACUUGCAGACGACAUAUCGUGGGAGUUUACCUCUUGAUUAAUUUAUAAAUUACCUAGUCUGUGAUAUUUUGUUAUAGCAGCACAAAUGACUAAGAUACUUGGACAGCUUAAGAUGUCAAUAAACUCCCAAAAAGAAGGAAUUCGUAAGGACCACAUUGGAUGCAGCAGAUAUAAAUGACCAGACACACAUCAAGUACACCUCAGGUA